CCCACAGUGGGGCCAUGCUGAGAAUUAACACUACUAUCACUCUGGUGCCCAGGAGGUGAAGUGAAGUCAAGUUCUGAGAAAGGAAACCAUUAUAAGCCACUUGCCUCAUUUGAACCCUCUGCGUGGUCAUCAAGGAAGGUGGAGUCUCAUCCCCUAACAGUCAUCUUGUUCCAUCAAUUACUGAGGAAGGAGUGUUAAAAUCUUCAGUUUUGA